AAUAGUUCUUAAACUGAAUGUAUACAUUGCUUACUUUGGGUCAUUCGAUAAUGGCCACGAGUGGUCGCGAAUACAUUAAAACACAAAUGCUAUCGCGUUUGGCAAGAGAGAAUUUAGAAUCUUCGUUGAAUUGCUAGGAAUUACGGCCAAAUCUGAUGGCGGAACCCUUCCGUGACACGUCUUGAAUCUACCACUGGAUCGAAAACGCGACCCACUGAGAAGAUCGGCGAGAAACUCAGUAGGCUAGUUUUUCAUCGAUUUUGAGACGUCCAAACUUCACUCUAAUAUCAUAACCAAUUUCACCAGGAUGGACAAAUGAGAUGAAAUUAAUGUAAGAUAAAACUAAUUAAUAAGAUGAAAUCAAUUGUUACUUCGGUUUACUAUUUUAUUUAAGUGGUUGUUUUUUAAGUUUUUAAACAACGCGUAUUAAUGUUCAUCUGCACUACAUAUCGUCGCACUGCUACUGUUAUACUUUAAAAUGUUGUCUGUGAAAACUUAUAUAGUACUAGCUGACCCGGCAAACAUUGUUUUGCCAUAUAUAAGAUUUCUAGGGAAUUUCUAGUGUACAAAAAAAACCUAACUUAUUGUAAGUGUGUAAGGAUGUGGUAAAUGAGUGAAAGAGGUAUGUAGUGCUGUGAACGAUGAGGGAGUAUAUAAUAAAAAUAACAAAACCUCAGUCAACCACAUAAUACCUUAUUAUAACAAAAAAAAAGUCCAAAUAAAAAAAAAUUUUUACGGGUGGACAACCCUAAUCACUUAGGGGGAUGAAAAAUAGAUAGUAGCCGAUUCUCAGGCUUACUGAAUAUGCAUAAAAAAUUUCAUGAGAAUCGGUCAAACGGUUUCGGAGGAGUAUGGGAACGAACAUUAAGACACGAGAAUUUUAUAUAUUAGAUUUAUAUGAUUAGGUAUCUAUGUUUGUAUUUUAUUUGUAAUUUGGAAACUUUUUGGCGGGAACGCGAGGACUGAAGUUGUGUGAUUUGUUUUAUUUUGUCUCUUUAGUGUUUCUUCAGGUUUAAAUGUGUAAUAAUGGUGGUUUAUUAACUUUUUAGUAUCAGUGAAAGUUCACAAAUGUGGGAAAAUAAAACAAAGCCGCUGGACGUAACUUCUCGGGCUCCUACAAAAAGCCCACUGAAAAAGUCUCAGUAAAUGACCACCAUUUACUGAGAUUAUAUUUCAUCCCAUAUCAUCUCAUCUCAUUUCAUUUAAUUUCAUCCCAGUUGAUUAAUGUCUCAAAUUAAUCAUCUUCAUUUCAUUUCAUUUCACUCCAUAUUAUCAUUUUUCAUAAAAAUAAGAAUAUAAAUUAAAAUAAGAUAUGACUUAAAGGUCUUAGUUACCAGGUCAUAAAAUCUCUUAAAAAAAUUUGUAAUUUGGAACUAUUCCCUGUUUUCCUAAAUUGAUAAAAGAAAAUAUAUUAAGUUUACUUUAAUAACUAUUAUCGCCCAAUAUUAGAUUGGUUCAUUUCGUAAUUUUCGUUAAACCAAUUGAAAAUCUUCAAUCGGAAGUAUUCAUAUCAUCGAUGAAAUGAUUUUAUGAAACGAAGUAAUUCUAAUAAAUUAUCUAUAAUCUAAUUUGUGUUAAAAUUAAAUUCUACUGCAUUGUGAUAA